CAGGAAGCGCCUGGUGGCUGGAAGCUACCCUGCUUUAGAUCAAUCACUCGGGUCCCUGCUUUAGAAGGCCCCCCCCCCGCCUUAGAUCAAUCACGUGGACACUAAGGCACAUCAUCUUGUUUUAAUAAUUAUGUCUGUCCGUCUGUCCAUUUGUGUUUCCUGCGUCGUAUCAUCAGAUGUAAUCCUCAGCAAUGAUGCAACCAUGAAGCAAUCCGUUACACAAGGGUCUGAACUUGUAGACUCGGUUCAAAUAUCAAAUAAAUCUAUAACACCA